rnacentral:rRNA from 1 species
UACAGAGGUCUCAAGCGUUGUUCGGAUUCAUUGGGCGUAAAGGGUGCGUAGGUGGCGCGCUAAGUCGGGUGUGAAAUUUCGGAGCUUAACUCCGAAACUGCAUUUGAUACUGGCGUGCUUGAGGACUGGAGAGGAGACUGGAAUUCAUGGUGUAGCAGUGAAAUGCGUAGAGAUCAUGAGGAAGACCAGUGGCGAAGGCGGGUCUCGUGGA